UACGGAGGGUGCGAGCGUUAAUCGGAAUUACUGGGCGUAAAGGGUGCGUAGGUGGUUAAUUAAGUUGUCUGUGAAAUUCCUGGGCUUAACCUGGGCAUGUCAGAUGAGACUGAUUGACUCGAGCACGGGAGAGGGUAGUGGAAUUUCCGGUGUAGCGGUGAAAUUCGUAGAUAUCGGGAGGAACACCGGUGGCGAAGGCGGCGAUCUGGGUCGAUACUGACGCUGAGGUGCGAAAGCGUGGGGAGCAAACAGG
rnacentral:rRNA from 1 species